AAGGAGUCCAACACAUACGCGAGUGUUUGGGUGUCAAACCCGAACGCGAAAUGAAAGCAAACGUAGGUGGGAUCUGAAAGGCGCACCAUCGACCGGUCUGGAUGUUUACUGAAAGAUUUGAGUAUGAGCAUACUUGUUGGGACCCGAAAGAUGGUGAACUAUGCCUGGAUAGGGUGAAGCCAGAGGAAACUCUGGUGGAGGCUCGUAGCGGUUUUGACGUGCAAAUCGCUCGUCAAAUCUGGGUAUAGGGGCGAAAGACUAAUCGAACCAUCUAGUAGCUGGUUCCCUC
rnacentral:misc_RNA from 1 species